AUGUACCUUUUCCCAUUCAAGGAGACGUCCGUGGCAGCCUGGACACGCAAUGUGGAGAGCCUCACCCCUCUGCUCUCUCUGGCGUACCUUGUCAACGCAAGCAUCUGGACUGGGUUUGCCUCCAUCAAGCCGUUGGACAGGUACCUGCAGAUCUCCAACGGGACUGGGAUCCUCAGCGCGUUUCUUCAAUGCCUGGUGUGGUUGAUUUGCCGCCCCGGGCAGCUGCAGAUCGCCAACGGGUCCGGAAUCCUCAGCGCGUUUCUUCAAUGCCUAGUGUGGUUGAUUUUCCGCCCCGAGCAUCAGCACUAG
rnacentral:rRNA from 1 species